rnacentral:lncRNA from 1 species
UUACCAAUGAUCUAGGACAAACUUAACAAAAGCAAAAAAUCAUAUUUCCAAAUUUUUCUGAGACUAUUAUAAUCAAUGACCUGUAAGAAUGCAAAAAGAAUAACAUGGAAGACCUUCAAAGUAUUGUUUUCUGCCAUCAGAACUUCAAGAAAGAUCUUAUGGGACAUACACAUUGUGGCAGAGAAGAAUGGUACCAAUGAAGAACAGAUUGACAGUGAAACUUCAAGAUACACAUACUUGUGCUGCUUUUAAGAGAACAAUUGGCUUUGAUCUCUUCUGAGGUGCUUCCAUCCCAGCUCCUUGGGAUACAAGGACCCUAAUGGAGCAAUUCUGUAGGCAGAAGUUCCAGUUGCCUUGGCAUUGUUGAAGUAGCAUUCAAGCACAGACAGUGCUGAUAGCCACCAUUCAUGAGGAGCUGCCUGCUCCACACAGCUCUGGACAGUGGACUAUAAUUGAAAAGCCUUCCUCACAGCAGGUUUUCAUCUAACCAAUCUCAACGCUUUUCAAAUAUG